rnacentral:rRNA from 1 species
UACAGAGGUGGCAAGCGUUGUUCGGAAUUACUGUGCGUAAAGGGCGCGUAGGCGGCCUGAUAAGUCGGGGGUGAAAGCCUGUGGCUCAACCACAGAAUUGCCUUCGAUACUGUUAGGCUUGAGACCGGAAGAGGUAAGUGGAACUGCGAGUGUAGAGGUGAAAUUCGUAGAUAUUCGCAAGAACACCAGUGGCGAAGGCGGCUUACUGGUCCGGUUCUGACGCUGAGGCGCGAAAGCGUGGGGAGCAAACAGG